rnacentral:rRNA from 1 species
CAAGAAUCUUGUAUAAUCCGCAAAUCUCGCGAGAGACCAAAGAGGGGAACCUUCGCCUUUUGGCAUACAGAUGUGCCCAGAUGGGAAAAGCCUAGUAGGGUGAGGUAUAUUGCUCACCUUAGGCGCCGAUCCUAGCUGUUCUGAGAAGGAUGACCAGCCACCACUGGAACUUGAGACACGGUCCAGACUCCUACGGGAGGCAGCAGUGGGGAAUAUUGCACAAUGGGCGCAAGCCUGAUGCAGCCAUGCCGCGUGUAUGAAGAAGGCCUUCGGGUUGUAAAGUACUUUCAGCGGGGAGGAAGGUGUUGUGGUUAAUAACUACAGCAAUUGACGUUACCCGCAGAAGAAGCACCGGCUAACUCCGUGCCAGCAGCCGCGGUAAUACGGAGGGUGCAAGCGUUAAUCGGAAUUACUGGGCGUAAAGCGCACGCAGGCGGUCUGUCAAGUCGGAUGUGAAAUCCCCGAGCUCAACCUGGGAACUGCAUUCGAAACUGGCAGGCUAGAGUCUUGUAGAGGGGGGUAGAAUUCCAGGUGUAGCGGUGAAAUGCGUAGAGAUCUGGAGGAAUACCGGUGGCGAAGGCGGCCCCCUGGACAAAGACUGACGCUCAGGUGCGAAAGCGUGGGGAGCAGACAGGAUUAGAUACCCUGGUAGUCCACGCCGUAAACGAUGUCGACUUGGAGGUUGUGCCCUUGAGGCGUGGCUUCCGGAGCUAACGCGUUAAGUCGACCGCCUGGGGAGUACGGCCGCAAGGUUAAAACUCAAAUGAAUUGACGGGGGCCCGCACAAGCGGUGGGGCAUGUGGUUUAAUUCGAUGCAACGCGAAGAACCUUACCUACUCUUGACAUCCAGAGAACUUUCCAGAGAUGGAUUGGUGCCUUCGGGAACUCUGAGACAGGUGCUGCAUGGCUGUCGUCAGCUCGUGUUGUGAAAUGUUGGGUUAAGUCCCGCAACGAGCGCAACCCUUAUCCUUUGUUGCCAGCGGUCCGGCCGGGAACUCAAAGGAGACUGCCAGUGAUAAACUGGAGGAAGGUGGGGAUGACGUCAAGUCAUCAUGGCCCUUACGAGUAGGGCUACACACGUGCUACAAUGGCGCAUACAAAGAGAAGCGAACUCGCGAGAGCAAGCGGACCUCAUAAAGUGCGUCGUAGUCCGGAUUGGAGUCUGCAACUCGACUCCAUGAAGUCGGAAUCGCUAGUAAUCGUAGAUCAGAAUGCUACGAAUCUAA